AUUGAACGCUGGCGGCAGGCUUAACACAUGCAAGUCGAACGAGUGGCGGACGGGUGAGUAAUGCUUGGGAAUCUAGCUUAUGGAGGGGGCUAACUACGGGAAAAUGUAGCUAAUACCGCGUACCAUAGGAUGAGCCCAGGUGGGAGUAGGUAGUUGGUGAGGUAAAGGCUCACAAAGCCGACGAUCUCUAGCUGGUCUGAGAGGAUGACCAGCCACACUGGGACUGAGACACGGCCCAGGUUCCUACGAGAGGCAGCAGUGGGGAAGAUUGCGCAAUGGGGGCGACCCUGACGCAGCCAUGCCGCGUGUAUGAAGAAGGCCUUCGGGUUGUAAAGUACUUUCAGCGAGGAGGCGUUACUCGCAGAAGAAGCACCGGCUAACUCCGUGCCAGCCGCCGCGGUAAUAC
rnacentral:rRNA from 1 species